GACGAACGCUGGCGGCGUGCCUAAUACAUGCAAGUCGAGCGAGCGGAACUAACAGAUUUACUUCGGUAAUGACGUUAGGAAAGCGAGCGGCGGAUGGGUGAGUAACACGUGGGGAACCUGCCCCAUAGUCUGGGAUACCACUUGGAAACAGGUGCUAAUACCGGAUAAGAAAGCAGAUCGCAUGAUCAGCUUUUAAAAGGCGGCGUAAGCUGUCGCUAUGGGAUGGCCCCGCGGUGCAUUAGCUAGUUGGUAAGGUAAAGGCUUACCAAGGCGAUGAUGCAUAGCCGAGUUGAGAGACUGAUCGGCCACAUUGGGACUGAGACACGGCCCAAACUCCUACGGGAGGCAGCAGUAGGGAAUCUUCCACAAUGGACGCAAGUCUGAUGGAGCAACGCCGCGUGAGUGAAGAAGGUUUUCGGAUCGUAAAGCUCUGUUGUUGGUGAAGAAGGAUAGAGGUAGUAACUGGCCUUUAUUUGACGGUAAUCAACCAGAAAGUCACGGCUAACUACGUGCCAGCAGCCGCGGUAAUACGUAGGUGGCAAGCGUUGUCCGGAUUUAUUGGGCGUAAAGCGAGCGCAGGCUGAAGAUAAGUCUGAUGCGAAAGCCCUCGGCUUAACCGAGGAACUGCAUCGGAAACUGUUUUUCUUGAGUGCAUAUUAGGAGAGUGGAACUCCAUGUGUAGCGGUGGAAUGCGUAGAUAUAUGGAAGAACACCAGUGGCGAAGGCGGCUCUCUGGUCUGCAACUGACGCUGAGGCUCGAAAGCAUGGGUAGCGAACAGGAUUAGAUACCCUGGUAGUCCAUGCCGUAAACGAUGAGUGCUAAGUGUUGGGAGGUUUCCGCCUCUCAGUGCUGCAGCUAACGCAUUAAGCACUCCGCCUGGGGAGUACGACCGCAAGGUUGAAACUCAAAGGAAUUGACGGGGGCCCGCACAAGCGGUGGAGCAUGUGGUUUAAUUCGAAGCAACGCGAAGAACCUUACCAGGUCUUGACAUCUAGUGCCAUUUGUAGAGAUACAAAGUUCCCUUCGGGGACGCUAAGACAGGUGGUGCAUGGCUGUCGUCAGCUCGUGUCGUGAGAUGUUGGGUUAAGUCCCGCAACGAGCGCAACCCUUGUUAUUAGUUGCCAGCAUUAAGUUGGGCACUCUAAUGAGACUGCCGGUGACAAACCGGAGGAAGGUGGGGAUGACGUCAAGUCAUCAUGCCCCUUAUGACCUGGGCUACACACGUGCUACAAUGGGCAGUACAACGAGAAGCGAGCCUGCGAAGGCAAGCGAAUCUCUGAAAGCUGUUCUCAGUUCGGACUGCAGUCUGCAACUCGACUGCACGAAGCUGGAAUCGCUAGUAAUCGCGGAUCAGCACGCCGCGGUGAAUACGUUCCCGGGCCU
rnacentral:rRNA from 1 species